rnacentral:rRNA from 1 species
UGUGUAGGCGGUUUUAUUAGUCUUUUGUUAAAUAUCCUGGCUUAACCGGGAAAGGGCGAAAGAAACGGUAAAACUAGAGGGUGUGAGGGGUCUAUGGAACUUACGGUGUAGGGGUGAAAUCCGUUGAUAUCGUAGGGAACACCAAAAGCGAAGGCAAUAGACUGGCGCAUUCCUGACGUUCAAACACGAAAGCGUGGGUAGCGAACG